rnacentral:rRNA from 1 species
AAGUCAUAACAAGGUCUCCGUAGGUGAACCUGCGGAGGGAUCAUUAGAGAUGUCCUUAUGGGCUUUUUGAUUAUACACACCGUGAACCGUUUCUAAUGGGUUAGCCCAUUAGUCCAAGGAAGGUUGGAAGGCUUAGGCUGGAAGACCCCCUUGACCAUUACUACAAGUCAUGAACGUAAAUACCAUAAUGAAAUACAACUUUCAACAACGGAUCUCUUGGCUCUCGCAUCGAUGAAGAACGCAGCGAAUUGCGAUAAGUAAUGUGAAUUGCAGAAUUCAGUGAAUCAUCGAAUCUUUGAACGCACCUUGCACCUUUUGGUACUCCGAAAGGUAUGCCUGUUUGAGUGUCUUAAACCUCUCACCUCUUGAUGAUUUGAUUAUCGUCUUGGGCGUGGAUUUGGGCGUCUGCCUGGUGAAUAACCGAUGGCUCGCCUUAAAUGUCUUAGUGAGUUUGAUUAGCUCUAUUGGACGUAAUAAGUUAUUCGUCUGAUGCUCUUGUCGCUUGCUUACAACCCUCUUACUAUUGUAAGACUAUAUCUUAAGAUUGGACCUCAAAUCAGGUAGGACUACCCGCUGAACUUAA